GUCCCAAGGAAAUAUCCCUCUGCAGUGAGAACUGCCCUGCCCCCAGCCAGGGAAACAAGUGUGGAAAAGCCAAUGGUCAUCAACCAGUCAGUCCCUAGUCCAGGAUGAGGGCCCAGAUUCCAGGCUGGGAAGGAAGCUGGCAGUGAGGAGCAUUUGGAUGGAUCCCACCAUAGGGAUCAGUUGUGAUACAAAGGACAUGGUCCAGGUCUGCAGACUUUGUAGUAAAGAACGAAAAAAACUCAUAUGCCAAAUCAUGAAGCCAAGAUUCAGAUAAGGAAAGGUUGAAGGACUGCAG